rnacentral:lncRNA from 1 species
AUAUCCUUUAUAUAACUACUUUGUUAGAAACAAAGUUCUUUCUUAUUUAGUUUAUCAUAUCUUCUUUUGUUGAGCACUUUAUCUUUGUUAGUGUUUUGCAUUUUUGAAUAUAAUUCAGAAAUUCUAGGUUAUGCAAAGAAUUUAUAAAGCAUAAUUAAAAUGAGUGUAUAUUACUUUGCAUUCAACUUCAGUUUUGUGGUGUGUGUAAACAAAAUAACAGCAAAACGUUUUUAAAAUACUCUGAUAACUAAGGUGAUUGCCUCUAAACGUCUAUGUUGUCUUUUCCCACCCAAGCUCCUAUGUUAGAGUGCACUUCAUUGUGACAGCAAUGCUGGCCAGCUAGCUUCAUGUGUGUCACCAGAUAAUCUCUUGUUUGAUUUUUGCUUUUUGAGACAGGGUCUCUGUGUAGUUCUGGCUGUCCUAUAACUUUGUUAUGUAGACCAGGUGCCUCAAACCCAGAGAUCCUCUUGUCUCUGCUUUCCAAGUGCUAGCAACAAAAGCAUGUGCCAGCACAUCCGGCCUGCAUCACAAAAAUUUUGUUUUACAACCUAUAACAGGAAUUGUCUCACACUGUCAGUAAUACAGUGAUAUAAUCUCUUUUUUUCCCCUUUAAAGUAUUAAGAUAGCCAGUUCAAUACAGCAACAUGAAAAAGUGUCCCCAAGUUUUUGCUGCCUUUUAUUCUACUUGCAAAAUUAAAAUAUUCUCCCAUUGGACACACUGUGCUGUCGUACAUAUUCAGUACAUGUGACGUUCUGCUUUGAACAGUGUUUUACAGUGUUCUGGUCAUUGGCCUAGCUUCUUCACGUCUCUCUUUAGUUGUUGACCAGGACUUCGGUGGCCACCGUGAGAAUGACACCGUUGCCAGGAGCCAGAGCAAACAGUUGCUCCAUUCCUGGCAGGGCUCAAGAUGACUUACACAUUGCAGACCUAUCAUGUGCUAGAGCUCAUUUUUAGUGCUUCAUAGUGUUUUAGUAAUUCAUUAUUAGUACAUGUGGAUAAGUACUUACAAAACC